GACGAACGCUGGCGGCGUGCCUAAUACAUGCAAGUAGAACGCACAGUUUAUACCGUAGCUUGCUACACCAUAGACUGUGAGUUGCGAACGGGUGAGUAACGCGUAGGUAACCUGCCUGGUAGCGGGGGAUAACUAUUGGAAACGAUAGCUAAUACCGCAUAAUAUUGAUUAUUGCAUGAUAAUUAAUUGAAAGGUGCAAUUGCACCACUACCAGAUGGACCUGCGUUGUAUUAGCUAGUAGGUGAGGUAACGGCUCACCUAGGCGACGAUACAUAGCCGACCUGAGAGGGUGAUCGGCCACACUGGGACUGAGACACGGCCCAGACUCCUACGGGAGGCAGCAGUAGGGAAUCUUCGGCAAUGGACGAAAGUCUGACCGAGCAACGCCGCGUGAGUGAAGAAGGCUUUCGGAUCGUAAAGCUCUGUUGUAAGAGAAGAACGGGUGUGAGAGUGGAAAGUUCACACUGUGACGGUAUCUUACCAGAAAGGGACGGCUAACUACGUG
rnacentral:rRNA from 1 species